UACGAAGGGUGCAAACGUUUGCUCGGAAUUAUUGGGCGUAAAGCGCACGUAGGCGGCUUUGCAAGUCGGAUGUGAAAUCCCUCGGCUCAACCAAGGAAGUGCAUCCGAAACUGCAGAGCUUGAGUACCAAAGAGGAUCGCGGAAUUCCCGGUGUAGAGGUGAAAUUCGUAGAUAUCGGGAGGAACACCAGUGGCGAAGGCGGCGAUCUGGGUGGAUACUGACGCUGAGGUGCGAAAGCGUGGGGAGCAAACAGG
rnacentral:rRNA from 1 species